GCGAUGAGCUGAGUUGUGUAAGUCGAGAAACAUUCCUUUUUGGAGCGCACUAUGUGGAGUGUGGUUUUUCGCCUCAAUACGCAAAAGACGUCUGUUAUAUGCAGACGUC
rnacentral:sRNA from 1 species